rnacentral:lncRNA from 8 species
UGACCCCUACACCAGGGUACAUAUCUACUGUCUGUUGCUGACCCCUACACCAGGGUACGUAUCUACUGUCUGUUGCUGGCCCCUACACUAGGGUACAUAUCUACUGUCUGUUGCUGACCCCUACACCAGGGUACAUAUCUACUGUCUGUUGCUGACCCCUACACCAGGGUACAUAUCUACUGUCUGUUGCUGACCCCUACACUAGGGUACAUAUCUACUGUCUGUUGCUGACCCCUACACUAGGGUACAUAUCUACUGUCUGUUGGUGACCCCUACACUAGGGUACGUAUCUACUGUCUGUUGCUGGCCCCUGCAGUUCGGUAUCAGUGUGUCGUUCUGGCCAUUUCAAGCAGUCUGAAGCCUCAUUGUUACUCGUGGUCCACUCUGUCUCUGCCAUUUUCUCCAUCUCUCUCUCCACCUCUCGCUCCAUCUCUCUCUCCACCUCUCUCUCCAUCUCUCUCUCCACCUCUUUCUCCCUCCCCCUCUCCAUCUCUCUCUCCACCUCUCGCUCCAUCUCUCUCUCCACCUCUCUCUCCAUCUCUCUCUCCACCUCUUUCUCCCUCCCCCUCUCCAUCUCUCUCUCCGCCUCUCUCUCCAUCUCUCUCCACCUCUUUCUCCCUCCCCCUCCAUCUCUCUCUCUCCACCUCUCUCGCCAUCUCUCUCUACAUCUCUCCAUCUCUCUCUACAUCUCUACAUCUCUCUCUCCAUCUCUCUCUAUAUCUCUCCGUCUCUCUCUAUAUCUCUCUCUACAUCUCUCCAUUUCUCUCUCUACAUCUCUCCAUUUCUCCAUCUCUCUCUCCAUCUCUCUCUCCAUCUCUCUCUACAUCUCUCCAUCUCUCUCUCUACAUCUCUUCAUCUCUCUCUACAUCUCUUCAUCUCUCUCUCGCCAUCUCUCCAUCUUUACAUAUCUCCAUCUCUCUCUACAUCUCUCCAUUUCUCUCUCUACAUCUCUCCAUUUCUCCAUCUCUCUCUCCAUCUCUCUCUCCAUCUCUCUCUACAUCUCUCCAUCUCUCUCUCUACAUCUCUUCAUCUCUCUCUACAUCUCUUCAUCUCUCUCUCGCCAUCUCUCCAUCUUUACAUAUCUCCAUCUCUCUCUACAUCUCUCCAUUUCUCUCUCUACAUCUCUCCAUUUCUCCAUCUCUCUCUCCAUCUCUCUCUCCAUCUCUCUCUACAUCUCUCCAUCUCUCUCUCUACAUCUCUUCAUCUCUCUCUACAUCUCUUCAUCUCUCUCUCGCCAUCUCUCCAUCUUUACAUAUCUCCAUCUCUCUCUACAUCUCUCCAUUUCUCUCUCUACAUCUCUCCAUUUCUCCAUCUCUCUCUCCAUCUCUCUCUCCAUCUCUUCAUCUCUCUCUCCAUCUCUAUCUCUUCAUCUCUCUCUCCAUCUCUCUCUCCAUCCAUCUCUCCAUCUCUCCAUAUCUCUCCAUCUCUCUAUAUAUCUCUUCAUGUCUCUCUCCAUCUCUAUCUCUUCAUCUCUCUCUCCAUCUCUCCAUCUCUCCACAUCUCUCUAUAUCUCUUCAUCUCUCUCUCUCUCUCUCUCUCUCUCUCUCUCUCUCUCUCUCUCUCUCUCUCUCCCCAUCUCUCUCUCCAUCUCUCUCUCCAUCUUUCUCUCCACCAGUCUCUCCUUUAUUUAAUUCUUCCCCUGUUCAGAGNNNNNNNNNNNNNNNNNNNNCCCCAUCCCCCUCACCCUACCCCCCAUCCCCCAUAUCUCCCAUCUCCCCUUCACCCCUUCACCCUACCCCCCAUCCCCCUCACCCUACCUCCCAUCUCCCCUUCACCCUACAAUAUCUUGCUGAUGCAGCCCUUUUGUAAAUAGAUAAA